UACGGAGGGUGCAAGCGUUAUCCGGAUUCACUGGGUUUAAAGGGUGCGUAGGCGGGUAGGUAAGUCAGUGGUGAAAUCUUCGAGCUUAACUCGGAAACUGCCUUUGAUACUAUCUAUCUUGAAUAUUGUGGAGGUAAGCGGAAUAUGUCAUGUAGCGGUGAAAUGCUUAGAUAUGACAUAGAACACCGAUUGCGAAGGCAGGUUACUACUAGUGGAUUGACGCUGAUGGACGAAAGCGUGGGUAGCGAACAGG
rnacentral:rRNA from 1 species